GAUGAACGCUGGCAGCAUGCUUAACACAUGCAAGUCGAACUGAAAUUCGGUUUGGGUGGCGGACGGGUGAGUAACGCGUGCGGAACUUACCUGACAGUUACCGACCACAUUUGGAAACGAAUGCUAGUACCUGUUAUUAUGAUUUUAGGGCGUCGUAGCAUUAUGAAAGCUAUGUGCGCUGUGGGUGGGCUUUGGGUCCCAUUAGCUAGUUGGAGCGGUAUGGGGUUACGAAGGCGAGGAUGGGUAGCCGGCCUGGGAGGGUGGUCGGCCACAAGGGGACGGAGACACGGCCCUUACCCCUACGGGGGGCAGCGGGGGGGAAUAUUGGACAUGGGACCAAGAGUGUGAUCGAGACAUUCUGUGUGGACGAUGAAGUUUUGCGGAAUGUAAAGUGUUUUCAGUUGGGAAGAAGAAAAUGACGGUACCAGCAGAAGAAGCGACGGCUAAAUACGUG
rnacentral:rRNA from 1 species